rnacentral:rRNA from 2 species
UGGUGCGAUCGUACCAGCACUAAUGCAGCGGAUCCCAUCAGAACUUCGUAGUUAAACGUGUUUGGACAUAAAUAGUACUAGGAUGAGUGACUUCCCGGAAAAUUUCCGUACCAAAAAAU